AGUUAAUGAUCUUGAUUAAAGU
rnacentral:tRNA from 2 species